UGUGCUGGGCACCAGUGCUGGUCGGUGGUUGAGGAGGAAGAGGGGCAGAGCCCCUGCGGAGCUAGAAGGCUUAGGGCUGUCUGGGGCUCCCUGGCAGGGACAGGGAGGAGUGCAGGAGGAGCCUGGCUGAGGUGAGAUGGAGCUGGGGAGCAGAAAGAGCCCCCCCAAGGAUCAGAGCUGUCUGCCCAAGCAGAGGGCUUCACCUUUGAAUCCAGAGGGACGCCUGGAAAGUAGGACGGAGGCAUCUAUUUGGGGACUCAUCGUCCUUUUUCACUGGCAGUCAGAUGCGUGCCUGCGGUAGCCUCAGCAGUGACAGUAUUUGACGGUCAGUCUCUUGCCCAGCAAACUCUCCAGGCUUUGGAACAGUUCAUCCAGUUCAUGGCCAGCGAUGUGGAGCAGAGAGAAGUGGAAAAAGAUGCAAAUGGAGAGUCUGACCCUUGGGGAGGGAGGAAGAAGGAGGCUCUCGA